CAGUAGCCGCGGUAAUACGGAGGGGGCUAGCGUUGUUCGGAAUUACUGGGCGUAAAGCGCACGUAGGCGGCUUUGUAAGUUAGAGGUGAAAGCCCGGAGCUCAACUCCGGAAUUGCCUUUAAGACUGCAGAGCUAGCAGGUGAGAGAGGUGAGUGGAAUUCCGAGUGUAGAGGUGAAAUUCGUAGAUAUUCGGAAGAACACCAGUGGCGAAGGCGGCUCACUGGCUCAUACUGGACGCUGAGGUGCGAAAGCGUGGGGAGCAAACAGGAUUAGAUACCCCCGUAGUCCCUGUCUCUUAUAC
rnacentral:rRNA from 1 species